rnacentral:tRNA from 1 species
GCCGCCGUAGCUCAGGGGUAGAGCACACCCUUGGUAAGGGUGGGGUCGAGUGUUCGAUUCACUCCGGCGGCACCA